rnacentral:tRNA from 1 species
GGGGUUGUGGCUCAGCAGUAGAGCGCUCACCUCGCAUGUGCAAGACCCUGGGUUCGAUCCUCAGCACCACA